AGUGGCGAACGGGUGAGUAAUGUAUCGGAACGUGCCCAGUCGUGGGGGAUAACUGCUCGAAAGAGCAGCUAAUACCGCAUACGACCUGAGGGUGAAAGCGGGGGAUCGCAAGACCUCGCGCGAUUGGAGCGGCCGAUAUCAGAUUAGGUAGUUGGUGAGGUAAAGGCUCACCAAGCCGACGAUCUGUAGCUGGUCUGAGAGGACGACCAGCCACACUGGGACUGAGACACGGCCCAGACUCCUACGGGAGGCAGCAGUGGGGAAUUUUGGACAAUGGGCGCAAGCCUGAUCCAGCCAUGCCGCGUGCGGGAAGAAGGCCUUCGGGUUGUAAACCGCUUUUGUCAGGGAAGAAAAGGUUCUGGCUAAUACCUGGGACUCAUGACGGUACCUGAAGAAUAAGCACCGGCUAACUACGUGCCAGCAGCCGCGGUAAUACGUAGGGUGCAAGCGUUAAUCGGAAUUACUGGGCGUAAAGCGUGCGCAGGCGGUUAUGCAAGACAGAGGUGAAAUCCCCGGGCUCAACCUGGGAACUGCCUUUGUGACUGCAUGGCUAGAGUACGGUAGAGGGGGAUGGAAUUCCGCGUGUAGCAGUGAAAUGCGUAGAUAUGCGGAGGAACACCGAUGGCGAAGGCAAUCCCCUGGACCUGUACUGACGCUCAUGCACGAAAGCGUG
rnacentral:rRNA from 1 species